rnacentral:rRNA from 1 species
AGUGAACGCUGGCGGCAGGCCUAACACAUGCAAGUCGAACGACCGCACAGUAAGAUUUUGCCCUUACGGGUGGCGAGUGGCGGACGGGUGAGGAAUACAUCGGAAUCUUAUUUUUCUUGGGGGAUUACGUAGGGAAACUUACGCUAAUACCGAAUACAUCCUACGGGUUAAAGCAGUGGUUCUUGGGACCUUGCGUGUUUCAAUGAGCUGAUGUCGUAUUAGCUAGUUGGCGAGGUAAGGGCACACCAAGGCAACGAUCCGUAGCUGAGCUGAGAGGGUGAUCGGCCACACUGGAACUGAGACACGGUCCAGACUCCUACGGGAGGCAGCAGUAGGGAAUAUUGGGCAAUGGGCGCAAGCCUGAUGCAGCCAUACCGCGUGAGUGAUGAAGGCCUUCGGAUCGUAAAACCCUUUUGUUAGGGAAGAAAAGCAGCAGAUGUAUCCCCGGCUGUCUUGACGGUACCCAAAGAAUAAGCACCGGCUAACUACGUG